AUGCUAGCCCGGCAAUUAUAAAGGUUGUUUUUGCAGGGUAAGGCUUCUGCAUUGCACUCCAGAUGUAUUGACUGACCCCUGUAAUUUCCCCAAAUCUUGGGAACUCAACUGCAUAAUUUGUGGUCAUGGAAGACUGCACUUAUGCUGUCACCUG
rnacentral:snRNA from 12 species